AGUAAAGUCAGCUAAAAAAGCUAUUGG
rnacentral:tRNA from 1 species